AACGCGAAGAACCUUACCUGGGCUCGAAAUGCUAUGGACCGGGGUAGAAAUAUCCCUUCCCCGCAAGGGGCCGUAGUAUAGGUGCUGCAUGGCUGUCGUCAGCUCGUGUCGUGAGAUGUUGGGUUAAGUCCCGCAACGAGCGCAACCCUUACCCCCAGUUGCCAUCAUUUAGUUGGGCACUCUGGUGGAACCGCCUCGGAUAACGGGGAGGAAGGUGGGGAUGACGUCAAGUCCUCAUGGCCUUUAUGUCCAGGGCUACACACGUGCUACAAUGGCCGGUACAAACCGUCGCAAACCCGUGAGGGGGAGCUAAUCGGAAAAAGCCGGCCUCAGUUCGGAUUGUAGUCUGCAACUCGACUACAUGAAGCUGGAAUCGCUAGUAAUCGCGGAUCAGAACGCCGCGGUGAAUACGUUCCCGGGCCUUGUA
rnacentral:rRNA from 1 species